AGAGGUAGUUUAUAUGUUGAGAAUACUGUUUUUGUAAAACAGAGGUAUUAGUAAAUUCUUUU
rnacentral:tRNA from 1 species